CAAUAGCGUAUAUUAAAGUUGUUGCAGUUAAAAAGCUCGUAGUUGGAUUUGUGGCGUACGGUGUGUUCCGGGCACUUGUUGUCUGAGUAACCUGCUGUUGCCAUCCUUGGGUGGAACCUGUGUGGCAUUAGGUUGUCGUGCAGGGGAUGCCCAUCAUUUACUGUGAAAAAAUUAGAGUGUUCAAAGCAGGCUUAUGCCGUUGAAUAUAUUAGCAUGGAAUAAUGAGAUAGGACUUUUUUGCUAUUUUGUUGGUUUGCGCAAAGAGGUAAUGAUUAAUAGGGACAGUUGGGGGUAUUCGUAUUCCAUUGUCAGUGGUGAAAUUCUUGGAUUUUUGGAAGACGAACUACUGCGAAAGCAUUUACCAAGGAUGUUUUCAUUAA
rnacentral:rRNA from 1 species